rnacentral:rRNA from 1 species
GACGAACGCUGGCGGCGUGCCUAAUACAUGCAAGUCGAACGCAGUGGGGACGGGUGAGUAACACGUGGGUAACCUCCCAUCAGAGGGGAAAACACUUGGAAAAAGGUGCUAAACCGAAACGUAGGGAUGGACCCGCGGUGCAUUGGCUAGUUGGUGAGGUAAGGGCUCACCAAGGCCAGGAGGCAAAGCCGACCUGGUAGGUGGAUCGGCCACACUGGGACUGAGACACGGCCCAGACUCCUACGGGAGGCAGCAGUAGGGAAUCUUCGGCAAUGGACGAAAGUCUGACCGAGCAACGCCGCGUGAGUGAAGAAGGUUUUCGGAUCGUAAAACUCUGUUGUUAGAGAAGCGGUAUCUAACCAGAAAGCCACGGCUAACUACGUGCCAGCAGCCGCGGUAAUAC